GCCUUGGUGGUUCAAUGGUAGAAUUCUUACCUUCCAUGUGGGAGACCCAGGUUUGAUUCCCAGUCAAUGCC
rnacentral:tRNA from 1 species